UGGGGAAUAUUGCACAAUGGAGGGAACUCUGAUGCAGCGACGCCGCGUGAACGAAGAAGGCUUUCGAGUCGUAAAGUUCUUUUAUAUGGGAAGAUAAUGACGGUACCAUAAGAAAAAGCCCCGGCUAACUACGUGCCAGCAGCCGCGAUAAUACGUAGGGGGCUAGCGUUGUCCGGAAUCACUGGGCGUAAAGGGUUCGCAGGCGGAAAUGCAAGUAAGGUGUAAAAGGCAGUAGCUUAACUACUGUAAGCAUUUGAAACUGCAUAUCUUGAGAAGAGUAGAGGUAAGUGGAAUUUUUAGUGUAGCGGUGAAAUGCGUAGAUAUUAAAAAGAAUACCGGUGGCGAAGGCGACUUACUGGGCUCAUUCUGACGCUGAGGAACGAAAGCGUGGGUAGCAAACAGG
rnacentral:rRNA from 1 species